AUCUCCCUCCACCAAUAAAUCUCUAGGGUAGUCUUCCAAUUCUUCUCCUCCCCUCUUUAUUUAUGCCAUACUUCCCAUGUUGCACCGCCGCCGGCCAAACCUUCUCUGGUCGUGAACACUAAGACCUACACGCUGCCUUCCUCCGGGAGCCCCUGGAGUGCCGCGAGCCUGGACAUGCUGGCCCAAACCAGGCGCCAUGGCGUCGAACCUACCUCCCGGGGAACCAGACGUGCCACCGUCAGCGUCGUCCUUCAACCCCACAUGCGUAGAUUGAAAAGUUCAUCAGAAUAUUGCACGGGAGGUUCUAUCAUCCACCAUCCAGAUUUUUUAGAGUUUGGUUGGUCUGCUUGGAUAGGGGUUUAGGAGGUGCUUUCAGGUAGAGCUAAAGACUUUGUAAUGUGCAAUUUAGCACCUUCAUAGUAGUAUUUGUAAGAUUUUUUAUGAUAAAAAAUAAUGUAUUUUCGAAAGAUUUAUGACUGAAGUUUUCCUUUCAUUUUGGUUACAC